CAGUAGCCGCGGGAAUACGUAGGUGGCAAGCGUUGUCCGGAAUUAUUGGGCGUAAAGGGCUCGCAGGCGGUUUCUUAAGUCUGAUGUGAAAGCCCCCGGCUCAACCGGGGGGGGUCAUUGGAAACUGGGAAACUUGAGUGCAGAAGAGGAGAGUGGAAUUCCACGUGUAGCGGUGAAAUGCGUAGAUAUAUGGAGGAACACCGGUGGCGAAAGCGGCUCUCUGGCUUGUAACUGACGUUGAGGCUCGAAAGCGUGGGGAGCAAACAGGAUUAGAUACCCCUGUAGUCCCUGUCUCUUAUAU
rnacentral:rRNA from 1 species